rnacentral:ribozyme from 1 species
UCAAAAAAACACUUUGCUCAACAAUCUAGUCUAAUCAUCCUUGCUUUCGUUUCCAACUCAGUGUAUAUAUUCUCCAGACGCACCUAUCCACUGCACAAUGGCCGAAGAAAAAGCAGACGACAAACGCGAGAAAAUCCU